rnacentral:lncRNA from 1 species
AGGUCUUUGUUUCUCAUAUAGCUCCUAUAGUUCCUACAGAUAUACAUCCCUGGCUUUCAAGUUGUUGGGUUGGAGCUUUGCUUAUGAAGAUGAAUCCAAAGAAGCUCUUCGGAAAGACUGAAUCUGUAAGGGCUAUUGUCGGAUGAUAUGACGCAGAAUUAUUGCUAAUUAUGCAACUUACACAUAGAUGUACUAGAAAAAGAAUAAAACGGUCAAUCGUAUUUACGGUUCUGUGUAGUUUAGUAAUAAGCAUAAUACAUAUUUUCUUUAUUUGUGUCCAUCACUGGUGUGCGGAUCAUCAAUUAAGUAAUUUAACAUAUACUAAAUAUGCUGACAAGCACUGGGCAAGAUUGUAUGUACAAAGUGUAACGCCAGAUCUCAAAACCGCUGUCGAGUAUGCUGUUGUCACAAAAGGAAAGGAUAUAUCACAAGAUAUUAUAAGUAAAUUACCAAAUAAAUAUAUAUUUAAACCGAACCAUAUGUCUGGUGG